GUGACCAAUAGCUCCACUUUAUCCCAAGGAUUAUGAGGACAUCACUAAGGGAGCAGGCUGCCGCCAUGGAAGCCGAACACAGAAAAGUAUGCACAGCAAUGAUCAGCUGUUCAUGAGGAAUGUCUGCGAGAAGUGGGAGUAAAGGACGCAGUUGUUCUGACCCUGAGUAGGUCCAGAUCUUGUGGGUCAGGACCAGAUUAUCUUACGACCAAGGGAUAACUUGCCAGAACACCCAGUGCCGGUGCUGUUGGAUGCCCUUGGAUUUCCCUAUGUGGGUUAUUUUCUGAGGCCAGACCAAUCUUUCUCAGAGCCGCAGCCAAAGGCUCGGUAGCUCAAGAGUUACACAGAUUCUCAUGGUCUGUGCGAAGAUGCCCAACGUCUUUAGCUCUGAUGAUGUCAGGCUUUCAAUGACCCACACAGUUUCUAUCCUUUUCUCCUAUUGAAGUCUAACCACAGACUUCCCCACUGUUAUGACUCAUGGUUAGCCUUUCAUUCUACAGUGGUCCAUCUGCCAAUGUCCACUGUGCUGUGGUUUGGUAUGGAAUGUCCCUCAAAGGCUCAUAUGUUGAAGGUUUAAUCUCUAGCUGGUGGUGUUAUUGACUGUGAUCCAUUGAUUUUUUUUUAAAUGCUUUUGUAAUUAGCUCUUUGAGAAUUUUGUACAAUGUUGUAAGUCAUAUUUAUCAUUUCCUCAAUACCUAGCCCUGUCCUCAAUACCUCUCAGACCCAGCCCUGUUUCUUCAAUAAGAGACAAGUCCAUAAUUCUGGAAACUUUGGGAUGUGGAAUUCCAGCCUGGUUACAAGAGGUUCGAUGCCUACAGUGAACUAGAGACAAAUACCCCACAGUGUGUACGUUCUUAACCACUCAGCUUUGUCCUCUCUCUCUCUCUCUCUCUCUCUCUCUCUCUCUCCCUUCCUCUCCCUCUCUAUGCAUCUCUUUCUUUCAUUUUUUGUUUCUUUUAAGUGGUUUACCCAUUUCUUUUCUUCCCAUUUUAUCUUUUUUAUCAACAAUAGAUUCUUUUCUCAUAUACUAUUCCUGGUUACAGUUUUUCCUACCUCUAUGCCUCCCAGUUCCUCCCCCACCUCCCCUCCUCUCCAGAUCUACUCCCUUUCUGUCUCUCACUAGUAAAGAACAGGGCUUGAAGAGACAACAACCAAAUAGGACAAAAUAAAAUGUAAUAAGAUAAAGCAAAAACCAACUCAUGGAGGCUGGACAGGAUGAUCCAAGAAAGGAAAAGAGCUUCAAGAGCAGGCACAAGAACCAGAGACCCACUCAUUCAGAUACUCAAGAGUAUAAAAAUGCUUAGUGAAAGCUAUAAUAUAUACACAGAGGACCUGUGUAGGCCCUGUGCUUGCUGCUUCAGCUCCCUCCCCCAUUUUGUAGCAUG
rnacentral:lncRNA from 1 species